CCCGCUGAACUUAAGCAUAUCAAUAAGCGGAGGAAAAGAAACUAACAAGGAUUCCCCUAGUAACGGCGAGUGAAGCGGGAAAAGCUCAAAUUUGAAACCUGGCCUCUUUGAGGAAAAUGUCGCAGGGUUGUAGUUUAUAGAGGCGUUUUCGAUGGAAUCCUGGGUAUAAGUCUUUUGGAGCAAGGCAUCAUAGAGGGUGAGAAUCCCGUCUUUGACUCAGAGUUUUCCAUUAUGUGAUACGUCUUCAUAGAGUCGAGUUGUUUGGGAAUGCAGCUCANAAUGGGUGGUAAAUCUCAUCUAAAGCUAAAUAUUGGCGAGAGACCGAUAGCGAACAAGUACCGUGAGGGAAAGAUGAAAAGAAACUUGAAAAGAGAGUUAAACAGUACGUGAAAUUGUUGAAGGGGAACGUUNGAAAUUCAGUCAUUUCUUCUGGGAAUCAGCUUGCUUUUGCAUGGUGUAUUUUCCCAGUGAAAAGGUUACUGUCAAUUUUGGNUGUCGGAUAAAAGCCUUUGGAAUGUGGCUCUCUUUCGGGGAGUGUAUAGCCCAAGGUCAAUACGAUGACUGGGAUUGAGGGAUUCGCCGCCAAUGCUCUCUGGGCAGUGGCAUCAUGCGCUCAGGUUAACACUCUGCUAGACAGCUUGCUGACUAGUAGUUUGAAGAUUUGACUCGUGUGGUUCCCACUCAUUGGCGUAGGACGUUAACUUAAUGGUUUUAAACGACCCGUCUUGAAACACGG
rnacentral:rRNA from 1 species